CUGGAAUAUCCUCUUGGAAGGAGGAUGGGUGCUGUUCUCUGUCCAAGGAUCCUUCUGUGUAAGGCUGAAGGCUGCUUGAGAGCCAGGCUCCUCAUUCCCACGUGUAGCUCCAGUGCUCACAGAGCGGCAAGGAGGACUCCUUACUACUUUGCUAAAAGGAGAUCAAUGGGCUUUAAAGCCCAGGAAGCAACUGGAGAGUGAAACUGGACAGAUGCUGUGACCUUGGGGACAUAAGUAAAAACAGAGGCAAUGGGGAAUGAGGGAAUGAGAGAAAUUCAUCAAGAUGCAAGCUCUUUAAAAAAAAAGUGGGGGCAGGUUGGGGGAUGCUAGGAAGCCAUGCU
rnacentral:lncRNA from 1 species